rnacentral:misc_RNA from 1 species
GAUGAAGAACGCAGCGAAAUGCGAUAAGUAAUGCGAAUUGCAGAAUUCCAGUGAGUCAUCGAAUCUUUGAACGCACAUUGCGCCCAUUGGUAUUCCGGGGGGCAUGCCUGUUCGAGCGUCAUUUCACCACUCAAGCCUCGCUUGGUAUUGGGCAACGCGGUCCGCCGCGUGCCUCAAAUCGACCGGCUGGGUCUUCUGUCCCCUAAGCGUUGUGGAAACUAUUCGCUAAAGGGUGUUCGGGAGGCUACGCCGUAAAACAACCCCAUUUCUAAGGUUGACCUCGGAUCAGGUAGGGAUACCCGCUGAACUUAAGCAUAUCAAUAAGCGGAGGA